AUAUCUUUUUACGGCGUCUGGGCGGGAAUGUCCCGUUAGGCAUGGGGGAGAAGGGGGAAGAUUUUUCGGGGGGGGAUGGGCUCGCGGCCUAUCAACUUGGUGGUGAGGUAAUGGCUCACCGGAGCGUCGACGGGUAGCCGGCCUGAGAGGGUGACUGGCCAUCUGUUAAAUUGUGUCGGGGGUCUCUCCUACCGGUGGCAGCAGUGGGGUGUAGUGGGCAAUGGGCGGAAGCCUGAUGCCGCAACCCCCCGUGAGGGAUGACGGCCUUCUGGUUGUAAACCUCUUUUAAUCGGAAUCCCGACAGUGUCGGAUCCUGCUUUUCAAGCACCGGCUAACUACGUGCCAGCCGCCGCGGUAAUACGUAGGGUGCAAGCGUUAUCCGGAAUUAUUGGGCGUAAAGAGCUCGUAGGCGGUCUGUCUCGUCUGCUGUGAAAUCCCGAGGCUCAACCUCGGGCUUGCAGUGGGUACGGGCUGACUAGAGUGCGGUAGGGGAGAUUGGAAUUCCUGGUGUAGCGGUGGUUUGCGCAGUUAUCAGGUGGUUCUCCGAUGGCUAUGGCAGAUCUCUGGGCCGUAACUGACGCUUAGGAGCGUUAGGGUGGGGAACAAUCAGGCUUAGAUGCCCUGGUAGUCUACCCCGUUUCGUUGGGUCUAGUUGAGGGGUCCUUUCACGGUUUCCGUGACGAACUAAC
rnacentral:rRNA from 1 species